UACGAAGGGGGCUAGCGUUGCUCGGAAUGACUGGGCGUAAAGGGCGCGUAGGCGGUUUUGACAGUCAGACGUGAAAUUCCUGGGCUCAAACUGGGGGCUGCGUUUGAUACGUUGGGACUGGAGUGAGGAAGAGGGUCGUGGAAUUCCCAGUGUAGAGGUGAAAUUCGUAGAUAUUGGGAAGAACACCGGUGGCGAAGGCGGCGACCUUGUCCGUGACUGACGCUGAGGCGCGAAAGCGUGGGGAGCAAACAGG
rnacentral:rRNA from 1 species